CACGUAGGGUGCAAGCGUUGUCCGGAAUUAUUGGGCGUAAAGGGCUCGUAGGCGGUCCGUCACGUCGGGAGUGAAAACUCGGGGCUCAACCCCGAGCCUGCUUCCGAUACGGGCGGACUAGAGGUAGGUAGGGGAGAACGGAAUUCCUGGUGUAGCGGUGGAAUGCGCAGAUAUCAGGAGGAACACCGGUGGCGAAGGCGGUGCUCUGGGCCUUACCUGACGCUGAGGAGCGAAAGCGUGGGGAGCGAACAGG
rnacentral:rRNA from 1 species